CGGGGGGGCUAGCGUUGUUCGGAAUUACUGGGCGUAAAGGGCGCGUAGGCGGUCUGCUAAGUUGGAUGUGAAAACUCUGGGCUUAACCCAGAGCCUGCAUUCAAUACUGACAGGCUAGAGUUCUGGAGGGGGAUAGCGGAAUUCCUGGUGUAGCGGUGAAAUGCGUAGAUAUCAGGAGGAACACCGGUGGCGAAGGCGGCUAUCUGGACAGAGUCUGACGCUGAGGCGCGAAAGCUAGGGGAGCAAACAGGAUUAGAUACCCUGGUAGUCCUAGCCCUAAACGAUGGAUACUUGGUGUAACUGGGAUUGAAUCCAGUUGUGCCGAAGCUAACGCAUUAAGUAUCCCGCCUGGGGAGUACGGUCGCAAGGCUG
rnacentral:rRNA from 1 species